UAGCUGGUGCAAGUCCAGCCGGGGAAAAGGCCAAGCUGCCUCGUAGCUAGCAGGCAAUUCAUGGCGAAAUCCAGAAGCCCUGCGAAAAGCAUGCAAGAAGCAUGUGAAGCAACUCCGCAGGCCACUACACCA
rfam:Thermobacillus composti KWC4, complete genome.